CCACAGCCACAGGUGCCAUCCCAAAACCCUCGCAAACCCCUCUUCAGUCUUCACGCUUCAGUUGUUGAGUUCAUUUCUCAGAUUUCGAUUUUCAUUGGAAGCAAAUCAGCAAUGGCAUGGCGUUCUGGAUCUCUCUCUCGCUCACUAAUCUCCACAGCUAGGGCUUCCCUCCGCCCAUCCGCUCCCCGCCUCCGUCCUCCGCCACUCGCUGCCCCUCGCCUCCACUCCCGCCGCUUCUCUAUCCCUGCUUCCAGGAACUUGGGGGAAUUAGGGUGCAUGCAAUCACUGUUACCAGUUCAUAGCACGAUGGCCGUGGCGUGUCUCACAUCGCACCUUGCUGUUAGCGCGCGUGCUUGUUGCGAUCUCUCCCAUGGUAGGAAUGGAAAAGAUGGGUGAUGCGCAAAGGACAUUGAUCAUCCAGUGGCGAGAGAAGAAUGCUGCAUAGUGAUCCUGAUUCCUGAGUUGAGGUACGUGAGAAAGCUAUUGGAUUUGCAUAACUGCCUUCAAGGAUAUGGCGGAUCAAUAUAUUAUGGAUAGUAUUUUCUGGGAAGUGACAUUUGUAGGAAGUGAGACCCUAAUCCGUUUUGCUAUCCUUAAUUUUGACUAUUUCUGAUUCAGUAAGAGGGUAGAAGAACCUCUUUUUUCUUUUCAAAUUGCAAAUACAUUAAAGAUUAGACCUUGAUUAUUUGUGGCUUUUGGUUAAA